UUUAUGGAGAGUUUGAUCCUGGCUCAGGAUGAACGCUGGCGGCGUGCCUAAUACAUGCAAGUCGAGCGAACAGAUAAGGAGCUUGCUCCUUUGACGUUAGCGGCGGACGGGUGAGUAACACGUGGGUAACCUACCUAUAAGACUGGAAUAACUCCGGGAAACCGGGGCUAAUGCCGGAUAACAUGUUGAACCGCAUGGUUCUAUAGU
rnacentral:rRNA from 1 species